rnacentral:rRNA from 1 species
UUAACAGGAUUAGAUACCCUGGUAGUCCACGCCGUAAACGAUGUCGACCUGGAGGUUGUGCCCUUGAGGCGUGGCUCCCGGAGCUAACGCGUUAAGUCGACCGCCUGGGGAGUACGGCCGCAAGGUUAAAACUCAAAUGAAUUGACGGGGGCCCGCACAAGCGGUGGAGCAUGUGGUUUAAUUCGAUGCAACGCGAAGAACCUUACCUGGUCUUGACAUCCACGGAAGUUUUCAGAGAUGAGAAUGUGCCUUCGGGAACCGUGAGACAGGUGCUGCAUGGCUGUCGUCAGCUCGUGUUGUGAAAUGUUGGGUUAAGUCCCGCAACGAGCGCAACCCUUAUCCUUUGUUGCCAGCGGUCCGGCCGGGAACUCAAAGGAGACUGCCAGUGAUAAACUGGAGGAAGGUGGGGAUGACGUA